rnacentral:rRNA from 1 species
GACGAACGCUGGCGGCGUGCUUAACACAUGCAAGUCGAGCGGUAAGGCCCUUUCGGGGGUACACGAGCGGCGAACGGGUGAGUAACACGUGGGUGACCUGCCCUCAGCUCUGGGAUAAGCCUGGGAAACCGGGUCUAAUACUGGAUAUGACUCCAUGACGCAUGUUGUGGGGUGGAAAGCCUUGUGCGGCUGAGGAUGGGCCCGCGGCCUAUCAGCUUGUUGGUGGGGUGANGGCCUACCAAGGCGACGACGGGUAGCCGGCCUGAGAGGGCGACCGGCCACACUGGGACUGAGACACGGCCCAGACUCCUACGGGAGGCAGCAGUGGGGAAUCUUGCGCAAUGGGCGAAAGCCUGACGCAGCGACGCCGCGUGAAGGAUGAAGUAUUUCGGUAUGUAAACUUCGAAAGAAUGGGAAGAAUCAAUGACGGUACCAUUUAUAAGGUCCGGCUAACUACGUGCCAGCCGCCGCAGUAAG